UUGGGGUGUGUUGGUUAGUGUUUGGGAAGAGAAUAGAGGGUGUGAGAGGCAUGAUAUACUGAGCUGGCCACAGAUUUUGCAGAAUCUUACACUCUGAAAAACUUUGCCUGCAGAUCCCUUUCCUAAGCAUGAGAAACCUGUUUCAAGGAUGUUUACGAGGUGCCACCCAUCUUUGUGAAGGUUGCCAAUGCCUGCUACCAAACUCCACACAUAUUUUUAGCCCCGGAUUGUUGUUAUUCUAGUGUACUAAGUUGCAGGUUUUAUCUGAAACGGCAACUCUUGUCAGUUGGUUGAGUGUAACCUCUCAGAUAGCAGUACAUUCUCUUAACAGUGCGACGUUUACCUUUGUAGCAUUUUUAAAGCUGUUGUUGUUUUGGUUAACUUAAAUAUUUUCCUCUUAACUCAUUGAUGUGUAUUGGGUAGAAUUAGGCCCAUUAACGUCAGUCUGUGUUGACAUGACGUCAUGAUUGACUUGACUCAGGUUUUUGUUUGCCAUCCCUCUUGAUGGGUGUGUUUCUCAGUGUGUGGUAGCCACUAUUUGUGUGCCUGCAGUGCAGGUACAGUAUGUUUACUGAAUGUAUUUGUACAGGUGUUUGUAGUGCUCUCCAUUGUGUUUGUGUUUAUGUUGCUUUGUGUCUAUUGUGCCAAAACAGACAAAGUGUUUUUGCUGUUUGUAAGUGUCUUUCCUGUAUUUAAAGGAGUCUGCCAUUGUCUCGGCUGCUCACAUCUUUGUGUAGGCGCACCCAGACUAUUGUACUACCACUGGACGUGGCGCUGGCAUUGCUGCUGAUAUGGAGCUUAUUGCAAGUGAUUGUUCUCGCACAGAUGAGAGUUCAUCACAACAGGGGUCUGCAGCAAAGCAUUCAGACAUAGAGUGGGCCCUUUACCUGCCUCCACCAGCCGCCUGCGAGAGAUAAGGUCACCUUAGGACCCUGUGUGGACCCCCUCCAUCUUCGCAGCAUCCUCAUCCUCCUCAGCCUGCCACAACCUCACCCGUCUAGUAAAACAAACCAAACAAUAGAGGUAGAUAUGUGAGGAUUAGAGGUCAGAGGGUUGGGGAAUGCGACAUCUCCAUUUCCAGGAUCAAUCUUCACCCGCUUGGUAAUCUCUGGCCCUAGGCCCCACAUACCUCCAGUGGUCUCUCUGGCUGAAGCACUGGCAUUGCCAGGCGGUGUGAGCUGGUGCUCCUGCUGGGUGUGGGGUGCUGAUAGUAAAGUGUGUGUGCAGGGGGUGGGGGGUUAUAACCUGAUAUUCUGGAUGGAUGAAAGAGCAGUGGGACGGGUAACAAUGGGUCCUCGCUCUGUAUACCCAAACCUCACCGUAAUCCGCAGUGAUAGAUGCAUGUGUGUGUGUAUAUUUGCACAUGUAUGACUUAGUAGUUAUUGUUAACGUUUGCAUGUGUACUUUGUGUGCGCGCACGUCCGUAAAGUUAGUUUUAAUCUGUAAAUUUGUAAAUGUGAAAUAACUUUGAGUUCUUCAGAGCAAACUGAAUAUUAUCCCCAAGUUCCCGUUGUUAUCUUGUGUACACACAUUUGUUUAUUUGAUACAGCCCCUCUCCACUACAGCACUUCUGUAUAUCAAAGACAGCAGUGCAGAGCGUAAUUGAAAAUGGCUACCGUGGAGAAAGGUCUCUCUCUGCUUGACUGCGAAGAGGCAGAAAAAGCCCCAUUCUCCGCUCCCUUCUUAGAUCUAUUUAAAUAAUUGAGGAGUAAACUGACAAAUUAGGCACCUUUAUGGACGCCCCUGGGCUCUCUCUGGGGUCCUUCAGUUUCCUCAAUACAAGAGAGCGCCACCAGGCACAGGAUAAUAUCUCUGUGUGCUUUGGGGGGUGGGGGAGUCCAGGAGGGGUUUCGCCAAUCAAGCGGGCCACACUUCCUCCCCCAGGUUCUAAUUUUGUGCCACAUUAAAGAGCUCGGCCUCCAUUUAGGACACAGAGAGGCAUUUUCAUAAUUUGCCGGGUCUCUCGACUAGCUCGGGGUGCCUUUUUUCCUCUCUCUCCUCCCUCUCUCUCUCACUCCGUGUCUGAAUGGAAGGCCUGGGGAGGAAGAGGGGUAAUUCAUUCGCCUCCUUUCAACCAACCCGCUUCAGUUCUGCAUAAUGUUGCUUCUAGUGAUUACAGGGGCCUGCGGGCCUGGCGGCGGCUCCGUGGCUGGGACAGGGAGCUUCUCCCUGGGCAAGGAGAUAUGCCUGUCUGCCCCUUCUGCUGGAGCUACAGGGACCAGGAUGUCAGGAGGGAGACUGCUCCCUGGGUCUGUGUGUUUAUGUGCUGAGGAGGUCAAGAGUGUGGAGGAGCCAGCAGGGGGGCAGUGAUCAACAGUCUGGGGCUCCCCUGCCGAGGGGCUCUGGGAUUAGGGCUAAACCCUGCCCUGCCAGAUGGGCACAACACAUCCCCAACAUCAAACACCAGCAACUGGAAAUAAGCAACUGGAAACACGGUUAUACUCACUGGACUACACAGAACGGCGGCAGGAGAGGCGACUGAGAUGAGGUACUCUUCAAAGUGUCAGCCAGUGGACAGUAUGACCAGUCAGCAGGUUCAAGGGUCGGCAAAGUUGUGUAAGAAGCUUAAAGGAGGUCUGUCCAUCCCGAGCACUUCACAAGAAGUUUGAACGACCUGAAAUUUCCACGAGGAAGUUUGAUCCUUAUAAUCCAAGCAAUCGGCAUUGAAGUUCAGCUUCCACGACGCCGCUUGGUCCUU